rnacentral:lncRNA from 1 species
CCCUUCCCCCUCCGCGCUUCAGCGGGCCGGAGUCGGUGACAGGAAUCGGCUUCCAACAUGGCGGACAGGAAGCGGCCCCGCGAGGAGGAGAGAACAUUCCAGCCGCGCCGGCUCUGGGGGGAGCGGGCCCGGGGCGCCGGCCUCGCAGUGAGCCGCAGGGACAAACCGAGAGGCCCGGUGCCCGAAAGGAGCGUCUCAGGGUGGAAAUGACCCGAGAGAAGAGGGGUCCCAACCGCCCCCCCAGACGGGGAACCCCAAGGCCACAGGUGGGCUUGGGGUGGCGGGUGAGGGAGGACACUUCCUCAACUCUGCCCCACUACCCUCUCCCCGCCGCCUGCAAAAGGGUCUCGCGACGCCACCCGAGUCGGGAUUCGCUAGGCCUUCCUGAGUUACACCCCGAAGCAUUUCGGGGGGCUGGGUUCACCCCCAACUCAGGGCCCCCAAAUUAGGGUCCCUCGUGGGCCUCAGGAAGGUAAACGAGAGAGGAAUAUAAAGGCUAGACUUCCAAGGCCGACCCUCCGGGUUUCCCUCCAGCCCGGGCGGGGGCCGGGAAGGUCCUGGUUGGGCCUCUCCCAUGCUGAGGAGAAGAGGGCGCUGCAAACCGUGAGGCCCAGCCCGAGCUUUCGGAGAAUGAAAGGGGGCUUCCCCACAGCCGCAGGACACCGGCACACAAGGCACACACACCCCGACCCCUUCCGCGCUUUUCCGAUCCAGCCCCACCCCACCCCAUCCCCCUUCCCCCACUCGUCCUCCCUCCCGGACCUGUUUUCUUCUUCGGCGUUUCCUGGUGCUGCUGGAGGGCGUGUUUCUGCUCAUGUUUCAGCGGCUUUGGCUGGGCCUUGGGGCUGCCCUCGGCUCCAUGCUGCAGGUAUUGGUGAGGCUGCUGGUGAUGGUGGUGGUGAUGGUGGUUGUGGCUGUGGUUGUAGAAAUAAUAAUGGGGGUGGGGUGGGGGAGGGAGACAAGGAGGGUCUGUGA